rnacentral:misc_RNA from 1 species
UUAAGUUCAGCGGGUAGUCUCACCCGAUUUGAGGUCAAGGGUUCGUGGGUUCGAGAGCGUUUCCCGAGAAGGGAGACACGCUCAAACAUUGUCGUUGAGACGGUUAGAAGCGGGUCCCAAAAGCAACAGAGCCAUAAACCAAGACAUGGAAACAUCUUAUCACACGUCGAGGAUCGGCAAAGAGGACCCUGCUAAUUCAU